GACGAACGCUGGCGGCGUGCUUAACACAUGCAAGUCGAACGGAAAGGCCCUGCUUGCAGGGUACUCGAGUGGCGAACGGGUGAGUAACACGUGGGUGAUCUGCCCUGCACUUCGGGAUAAGCCUGGGAAACUGGGUCUAAUACCGGAUAGGAGCCAUUUUUAGUGUGAUGGUUGGAAAGUUUUUUCGGUGUAGGAUGAGCUCGCGGCCUAUCAGCUUGUUGGUGGGGUAAUGGCCUACCAAGGCGGCGACGGGUAGCCGGCCUGAGAGGGUGGACGGCCACAUUGGGACUGGGAUACGGCCCAGACUCCUACGGGAGGCAGCAGUGGGGAAUAUUUGACCAUGGGCGCAAGCCUUAUGCAGCGACGCCGCGUGGGGGAUGACGGCCUUCGGGUUGUAAACUCCUUUCGCUAGGGACGAAGCUUUUUGUGACGGUACCUAGAUAAGAAGCACCGGCUAACUACGUG
rnacentral:rRNA from 1 species